GGCGCUUCAGGUGGCUCUGGGCCGAAAGUUCUGACGACAGACCAGAAGCGGGAGGCCGUAGAAGUCAUGUGUGAGACAACUGGUCUGUCGCAACGCCGUGCCUGCAGGCUGGCUGGUC
rfam:Pantoea wallisii strain LMG 26277 Contig0006_, whole genome shotgun sequence.